UCUUAUCUAGCCGUGCAUCGUUUCUCUAUUUAUUCGUUUGUUUUAUCCUCUGUUUACAACCCCUUAUUUCAACAUCUAUUCGAAUUCAAGCGCGGCAUUGAUCCUUGAAAUACGUAUUUUUGCACCCUAUCCAGAUGAAGAAAUUAGCGGAAAAAUGGACACUGUUCAAAUAUAUCGGUGUGCAAAUAGUUUUCGCAGCCAUUGAGACACUGUACGGUCAACGCUUUGUCGUACGGUCAGCAACGGAUGUAAUCGAUCCGAAGAAUCUCGAAAUUAAGUAUAAUAUAUUCAGCGACAGUCGAGCGUAACCUUAACCGUAUUAUACAAAUGAAAGAAAGAAUCGCAGCUGAAUAUCGUAUCGACCGAUUCAGCCGCGAUCUUGCGGUCGUUUGGCAAUCAACGAACAAAUUGUGCGUACAUUAUCGCCGAAGAUUACGACUGCAUCGCCAACCGGAGAAUAAUAAAAAUGUUCUAAUAUUUCGUCCAAGCCUGUACAACGACGACAACGACGACGACGUGGAAGAACUGGAUAAUACGCUCAAGGUUGUUUGCUCACGAGUGCGCUGCUUAUACGAGCGUUUCUGCAUCCACGUGAUAUCGCGAAAUACGCGAACGUUGUUCCGGCGUUUCGCCGGUUUCUUCGGUUACGCGUCGAAUCCGUCUCGAAAUCGAGUCGAAUUUGUUCGCCACUGACGUCCCUUUUCUACUGCCUCGCGCAUUCGGAAUUCCAACCGAUCCAUCCAUCCCUUCCUUUCGAAUCGUCCAAAAGAUAACAUUCGCGAGCGUAUAUGCGUAUAGGCGUCUAUGAAAGUGUUUCGAGACUCGUGAACGCAUAUCGCGAUUCGAUCGAGAUAAAGCUUUGUCAUCGUUACGAUUUCUUUCCGUGGUUAGAUGAACGAUAUCGUAAAUAAUUACGUAACAUCCCUGUAACCUAACGUUCCUCGAACGUACGAGUGUACUUGAGCGUAUUAACUCGGUAUAAUACUCGAUCGAUACCUAAAACGUAUUCGAACGAUUGGAUUAGUCUCGUGCAUGAGCGAAUCGAUGGAAAAUAAUUUUUCGACGAAUGUUACGCAAAUACAUCGGCCGAUUUACCUACAAAUGCGCAAUACAGCCUGCAGAAGCCGACCACUCGUUCAACUAUUGCAAACGUUCGAGUAAACACCUCUGAUUUGUUGCAUCGAUCCUAAGCGAUUAUGCACGGUUCAAGGCAUAUGGCAAACAGCGUGCACAUGUAGUAAUAUCUAUAUGUAACGCUGUUUCGACGGCGAGAGGUGUACCGAUACGAAGGAUACUUUAAUCGAUGUUCAAGGUUAAACGGCAGAAUUAUUAGCGCUCGCGCUUGUUGCGACACGAUCGCGGUUGCUCGUGCUCGUCUCGCGGUUCGACCAGUACCACGCCGAUAUGUAGACACAGUGUGUCGGCAUUUUGUGACGCAUAGCCGUUACAUAAUCGUUCAGCGUCGAGACGAGUCGCGCGUAGUAUAGGUCCUCGUGCUCGAUCAUCGCCGAUCCAAUUCGAAGAGUUCGUUGUUCGGCAAAUAUUCGAGCGAUUAAGAGAUUUGGCGAACAACGGCAGAAAGCAGCGAAUGAAAGAGGAGCGACGAAUAACACGGCAAAUUGUUCCAUUCGUAUACAGACGCUCUUAUCUCGCAGCCGUUAAAGGACAAUUGGAGAAAAUAAGUGGAAUAAGUCGAUGCGGGGACAUAUGAAAAAUGAAAAAGUCAAUUCGGUUGUUCGCGUUAUUCCGUGUCUUGGAAUCGCGCGACGUUCCGAUGUCGUCGUAUUUCGUAACCAAUAAGCUGGCAACAGCUCAGCAACGGUCACCGAUCGAACCAUCGUUAAUGAAAACUCUAAACAAUGGCCAAAGGAGGGACGAAGGAAUUUGCGUGGCAACCCCGUGGAUACAAAGCGGGACCUCCCAUAACGCGGCAGAUACGUAUUAUACGGGGCCCGUAUUACCCGGUUUCGUGUAAAAUCGUAAAAUUAUAAAAGAGAAAUCCGCAAUCUGCAAUUUCUCGCUUAUCGAUUCGCUAACGUUAUUGCUCGCUAAAUUACCGCGCAGAAGGGCCCGAGUUACUCGGAAGCAGCAAAAGGAUAUCGAGAAAACGUGACUAUCGAUGACUAGAAAGCAUGUUGUAAAUUCUAUGGAAAGGAUCGAUAGAAUCGUAAUUAGAGAUACAGAAGUUUAGCCUGAAACUAGAGUGGACAAGUUCUUGCGGCUUUUACCGAUACGAAGCAACUUUUACCACAAUGUCGCCGUAGUCCUCUCCUUUCUCGUUCGUCGAUCUCGACAAUUUUCGAUAAAAAAGGAGAAUGGUCUUUAAUAUCUGUCUCAACGGAGGGACAAUGGAUCGUCGCGAGGACGAUUCGGAAAAUUUGGUAUGCACGCAGCCUUAUCGUAGAUUCGGCGCGAAGGAUGGCUGACACGAAAGCCCGUAGUACAAGAUACGAACACGAAUCGGCCGGACCAGCUGACUGCCAAAACAGCUGCGGCGAUACACGCGAUGAUGGAUCAUUGCUUGCUCCGUUUCACUGGUUCGUCCUCUCUUCCGCUUCUCCUUUCCACUUCGACUCGACCUCUCGACUCGAUCGUACGACUCUAUGCGUUCAGCCAAUUCCCGCUUAAUUAGCCGACCUUCUUCUUUUCGUCGAUUACGCGUAUAUGCUAAAGAGAUCCAAAAGCGAACAAUCGACUCGUAACGUAACGCGAUACAUUAUUCCUGCGAUAAGGGAUUCAAAAUUCGCUCCUCUUCCACAUAGAUGUUACAACUUUAAGAAAUUCGAAGAAAAACACACCUUCUUAAGAAGGUAUAUGCUUAUAAUAAAUACUUAAAUAUAAAUAUACGUGUAUUUAAUAUAUAGAUAUAUAUAUAUUUGUAGCAAGCUAUCGCCUUGGUGUUUAAUCGGGAAAUUGACGUACGAUCUAUUUGAACGGAAUUUGAAAUGUUUCAAACUGAUUUUACCAACCGGGUAUGCUUUGCCUCUCUCUUUCGAGAACUAGCUGUUUUAUUUUCGGCCGCCUUACGUAAGGAACAACGUUCGGUCGACGAUCGAGGCGACAAACAGCGUUAAUCGUACCGUGCGAUUUUGCUGCUAAUCUCGAGGUACACUCCAAUUACUCUUUCUCAAGGUACGCGUAUCGAAGCAACUAUUGUUCCUUAAGGAAAAUACAAAUUGCUGUUCGCGUUGCAGAGUCACGCAGUGACGAAGAGAUAUUCGGUUUUCUGUACGCGAUAAAACGUUUGUUGUUCCAAAUAGAAAGUUACCGUUAUCCAAUCCUGACGAUGGAUAAAAAAAUUCAAAGGCCUUUUUCGUCUAUCUUUCUUACGAUUAACCAAUCGUCGCGUUGGCUUGGAGUCUGUCGGUGCCACGGAAAAAAUUGGUACGGGGAACGUAGACGAAUCGAGGAUAAAAACUAUCACGUUCCGUGGGAUAAAGCGAUACGCCGAAAAACCGACACCGGUGGACUAAUAGCUAGAGGAGAAGUACGGUCGCUGGAGCGUGCUCGCGAUACUCUGGUUCGUUAAUUUUUUCGUCGCUUUACGAUUCGAACGAAUUUACCCGAGAGUCGUUCGAGCCUCUCGGAAACCACAUCGAUCGAUACCAUAAAUCGAAAGUACGUUUCUCAAAUUUCCCUUAGAAUUUACCAUCGUCUCUGUCACGUUGCCACGGACGAUCUUGUACGAGUCGAUUCCAGCAGCUUUCAAGAGAUCCGUUUCUCACGGUUUCCUAUUCCUUUCCUUCAACGUUCUACCUUUUUCGAAUUAUCACAGCUAACGUCCGAGGAGCUCCGCACGAUGUACACGUUGCAACGAAUUGUGGUUGCGUCACGCGUAUAACACCUUCAAUGAAAUAUCGUAACGAAUAUGAUAUCCGCUAUCGUACACGGUAUCCUUGAAUUUAUAUAAUGUCCAUUCUUUCGUUAUUCGUUAAGGCUUCUUUCGUUCCCCUCUAUUCUCGCUUGUCGAUCCUUUUCACCCUCCCCCUUCCUCCUAUUUUCCCCUCCAUCCAUCCAUCUACGCGUCUAUCUGUUACUACACGUUACUUCUCGCACGACUCUUCCUACACGGUAGACGAAACGAUUGCGUAAGGAUUUCUUCGCUUUUGUAAAUAAUUGGACGGUGCUCGAGCGACUACUUCCAUCACCAAACGGCAAUACGGAAUUAUAUUCGUACAGAAACGUAGAAACUGCGGCCACUUUCGUCGCUCACUUUGACAGCCGACGAUUGUUCUCCCUAUCGACUUGCGUAUCUCAGGACGAACGACAUUUUUCCAUACAGCCUAUUGCAUAAAUAUAGAAAGACGCUAGUCAUCGGAGAAGUAUUUCCGAACGACGAGUCGAGUCGAUGAAUGGAGGAAGGAGCACGGGGGUAGUUCGAGUCGCUCGACCGACAGCGAUCGAACGCCGAUAGAGAGAGGAAAUAGACGGAGAAUAAUGACGUUCGUUGCGGAGAAUAAUUUUCAAGAGACGACAAAAAAUAUUUAAUUGCUGUCAGUAGGAUCAAGCUGUUCGUUUCGAUUCACGCUUCGGAUAUUUGCGGAGCUUUGUUUCGUCGACAGUAUGUACAGCGACUUAAAUAUACGUCGCUAAUGGCACGGAACCGAAGAUACAAAGGGUUGCUCGCUACUGCUACCGUUCUUACUAUUACCGCCACUGCUGCUGGAUGCUGGCGUGUUUAUUUAUAAUUUGACCAUGGUCAAGAAAGGAACGAUCGAAUCGGUGGAAGCUAAAGAUCGACUUUCAAAGCGGACAAAGUUACUCGAACGAUGCGAAGAAUGCAAUCUUUUAUAAAUAAGGAAAUAAGAUAAAGCUGCACGACGUAACACGCAACACGCUCGAAAGACCCAAAGAAUGCGUCCUUUUAUAAAUAAGAAAGUAAAAAAAGCUUGUACAUGGUACGCAACAUGCGUAAAAACAUCGAAAGAGUAAUCGAGCGAUAGGUGAUAAACAAAUUGCACGUACAGAGGCUCGCGAAAGUAUUCAAACAGUCGUAGAAACGUAGAGACAUGACGUGUUUAAAAUACGAAAAAUUUUGAAAUUUUAUCGGUUCCGUAACGAAACGCGACUAAUAAUCAAAUAUUUUUACGAAUUUUAAUUUUCUAUGGCGAGCGUUCGAACGUUUUCGUGCGCCAGCGUACACGCGCGUAACGACGGCCGAAAGUCCCUUUGCGUUGCGCGAAUACGAUGUACGAAGAGCAACAUUGCAGGUCACUGCAAUGCGGCUGAUGGUGGCAGUUGGUCAAUAGGCAACCAGCCAAUUCCGAUCGAAUUUAAAUAAGCCCUUGUGCCAUUUUGCACUGUCAGCUCCGAGUAUAACGUUUCUAAAGAAACCUUUCUUCGCUUAAUCCACGGAGCGUGCUCGCUACGCGAUACACACGACGAACGAUCCAACGCAGCGCCACGUUGAUCGAUGACCUGAGAUCGAGAGAUCGAGGAUCGAAGAUCAAACGCGACACGAGUCGCGUACGUCUGUACGCUCGAUUAAUAAACUCGUCUAACAUUACCGGAUCGACAAUUUGAAACCAUUGUAAUUUCGAUUAAAUCUUCGCACCGUUUCGGUAUUAUCGAAGAUUCGCUUUAUGAUUAAUUUAAGAUUCGCUGUAAAUAAAUUUUGAAACGCAGCGUGCGCUUGCGCGAUA